GACGAACGCUGGCGGCGUGCUUAACACAUGCAAGUCGAACGGAAAGGCCCUGCUUGCAGGGUACUCGAGUGGCGAACGGGUGAGUAACACGUGGGUGAUCUGCCCUGCACUUCGGGAUAAGCCUGGGAAACUGGGUCUAAUACCGGAUAGGAGCCAUUUUUAGUGUGAUGGUUGGAAAGUUUUUUUCGGUGUAGGAUGAGCUCGCGGCCUAUCAGCUUGUUGGUGGGGUAAUGGCCUACCAAGGCGGCGACGGGUAGCCGGCCUGAGAGGGUGGACGGCCACAUUGGGACUGAGAGACGGCACAGACACCUACGGGAGGCAGCAGUGGGGAAGAUUGCACAAGGGGCGCAAGCCUGAUGCAGCGACGCCGCGUGGGGGAUGACGGCCUUCGGGUUGUAAACUCCUUUCGCUAGGGACGAAGCUUUUUGUGACGGUACCUAGAUAAGAAGCACCGGCUAACUACGUG
rnacentral:rRNA from 1 species